rnacentral:rRNA from 1 species
CAGGCUUAACACAUGCAAGUCGAGGGGCAGCAUGGUCUUAGCUUGCUAAGGCCGAUGGCGACCGGCGCACGGGUGAGUAACGCGUAUCCAACCUGCCUUACACUCUUGGACAGCCUUCUGAAAGGGAGAUUAAUACAAGAUGUUAUCAUGAGUAAGCAUUUUCACAUGAUUAAAGGUUUACCGGUGUAAGAUGGGGAUGCGUUCCAUUAGAUAGUAGGCGGGGUAACGGCCCACCUAGUCUUCGAUGGAUAGGGGUUCUGAGAGGAAGGUCCCCCACAUUGGAACUGAGACACGGUCCAAACUCCUACGGGAGGCAGCAGUGAGGAAUAUUGGUCAAUGGACGAGAGUCUGAACCAGCCAAGUGGCGUGAAGGAUGAAGGUUCUAUGGAUUGUAAACUUCUUUUAUACGGGAAUAAACGAAUCCACGUGUGGAUUUUUGCAUGUACCGUAUGAAUAAGGAUCGGCUAACUCCGUGCCAGCAGCCGCGGUAAUACGGAGGAUCCGAGCGUUAUCCGGAUUUAUUGGGUUUAAAGGGAGCGUAGAUGGGUUGUUAAGUCAGUUGUGAAAGUUUGCGGCUCAACCGUAAAAUUGCAAUUGAUACUGGCAGUCUUGAGUACAGUUGAGGUAGGCGGAAUUCGUGGUGUAGCGGUGAAAUGCUUAGAUAUCACGAAGAACUCCGAUUGCGAAGGCAGCUUACUAACCUGUAACUGACAUUGAUGCUCGAAAGUGUGGGUAUCAAACAGGAUUAGAUACCCUGGUAGUCCACACGGUAAACGAUGAAUACUCGCUGUAGGCGAUAUACAGUCUGCGGCCAAGCGAAAGCAUUAAGUAUUCCACCUGGGGAGUACGCCGGCAACGGUGAAACUCAAAGGAAUUGACGGGGGCCCGCACAAGCGGAGGAACAUGUGGUUUAAUUCGAUGAUACGCGAGGAACCUUACCCGGGCUUAAAUUGCAACCGAAUAUGGCGGAAACGCUAUAGCUAGCAAUAGCGGUUGUGAAGGUGCUGCAUGGUUGUCGUCAGCUCGUGCCGUGAGGUGUCGGCUUAAGUGCCAUAACGAGCGCAACCCUUGCCGAUAGUUACUAACAGGUCAUGCUGAGGACUCUGUCGGGACUGCCAUCGUAAGAUGUGAGGAAGGUGGGGAUGACGUCAAAUCAGCACGGCCCUUACGUCCGGGGCUACACACGUGUUACAAUGGGGGGUACAGAGGGCUGCUACCACGCAAGUGGAUGCCAAUCCCAAAAACCUCUCUCAGUUCGGAUUGAAGUCUGCAACCCGACUUCAUGAAGCUGGAUUCGCUAGUAAUCGCGCAUCAGCCACGGCGCGGUGAAUACGUUCCCGGGCCUUGUACACACCGCCCGUCAAGCCAUGGGAGCCGGGGGUACCUGAAGUGCGUAACCGCAAGGAGCGCCCUAGGGUAAAACUGGUGACUGGGGC